rnacentral:tRNA from 1 species
AGUCGCGUGGUCUAAUGGUUAUGAUUUCUCGUUCACAUUGAUGUGAUCAAAGUUCCGAGAAGGUUCCGUGUUCGAUCCACGGCGUGACUA